rnacentral:tRNA from 1 species
GCCAGCGUGGUGCAGUGGUUUGGACAUUGAACUAGGACUCUGGAGACCAGGGUUCGAAUCCCCACUCAGCCA